UGGUUUAGUGGUAGAGUGCUUGCCUAGCAUGCAUGAAGCCCUGGGUUCAAUUCCUAG
rnacentral:tRNA from 1 species